rnacentral:rRNA from 1 species
CAUGCAGGUCGAGGGGCAGCAUUUUAGUUUGCUUGCNAACUGCAAGAUGGCGACCGGCGCACGGGCUGAGCUAACACGCUAUCCNACCUGCCGAUAACUCCGGNAUAGCCUUUCGAAAGAAAGAUUAAUACCGGAUAGCAUACGAAUNUCGCAUGAUAUUUUUAUUAAAGAAUUUCGGUUAUCGAUGGGGAUGCGUUCCAUUAGUUUGUUGGCGGGGUAACGGCCCACCAAGACUACNAUGGAUAGGGGUUCUGAGAGGAAGGUCCCCCACAUUGGAACUGAGNCACGNUCCAANCNNAUACGGGAGGCAGCAGUGAGGAAUAUUGGUCAAUGGGCGAGAGCCUGAACCAGCCAAGUAGCGUGAAGGAUGAAGGCUCUAUGGGUCGUAAACUUCUUUUAUAUGGGAAUAAAGUUUUCCACGUGUGGAAUUUUGUAUGUACCAUAUGAAUAAGGAUCGGCUAACUCCGUGCCAGCAGCCGCGGUAAUACGGAGGAUCCGAGCGUUAUCCGGAUUUAUUGGGUUUAAAGGGAGCGUAGGUGGAUUGUUAAGUCAGUUGUGAAAGUUUGCGGCUCAACCGUAAAAUUGCAGUUGAAACUGGCAGUCUUGAGUACAGUAGAGGUGGGCGGAAUUCGUGGUGUAGCGGUGAAAUGCUUAGAUAUCACGAAGAACUCCGAUUGCGAAGGCAGCUCACUAGACUGUNACUGACACUGAUGCUCGAAAGUGUGGGUAUCAAACAGGAUUAGAUACCCUGGUAGUCCACACAGUAAACGAUGAAUACUCGCUGUUUGCGAUAUACAGUAAGCGGCCAAGCGAAAGCAUUAAGUAUUCCACCUGGGGAGUACGCCGGCAACGGUGAAACUCAAAGGAAUUGACGGGGGNCCCGCACAAGCCGAAGGAACAUGUGGUUUUAAUUCGAUGAUACGCGAGGAACCUUACCCGGGCUUAAAUUGCAACAGAAUAUAUUGGAAACAGUAUAGCCGUAAGGCUGUUGUGAAGGUGCUGCAUGGUUGUCGUCAGCUCGUGCCGUGAGGUGUCGGCUUAAGUGCCAUAACGAGCGCAACCCUUAUCUUUAGUUACUAACAGGUCAUGCUGAGGACUCUAGAGAGACUGCCGUCGUAAGAUGUGAGGAAGGUGGGGAUGACGUCAAAUCAGCACGGCCCUUACGUCCGGGGCUACACACGUGUUACAAUGGGGGGUACAGAAGGCGGCUACCUGGUGACAGGAUGCUAAUCCCAAAAACCUCUCUCAGUUCGGAUCGAAGUCUGCAACCCGACUUCGUGAAGCUGGAUUCGCUAGUAAUCGCGCAUCAGCCAUGGCGCGGUGAAUACGUUCCCGGGCCUUGUACACACCGCCCGUCAAGCCAUGAAAGCCGGGGGUACCUGAAGUACGAACCGCAAGGAGCUCCUAGG